UAUGUGCGUGGUGCUGCUUUGGUACUGAG
rnacentral:piRNA from 1 species